GUUCUCUUUGUAACUAAUUAUUUGACAGUUAGGUGUGGGGGUAGGGUUUAGGUUUAGGGUUAGGUUUAAAUUAAUAUAAUAAAGGUCAAAGAUGAGAAAUUUGGUAGAAUUUUGUGUUUUUGAGUGUGUGAGUUAAUUGUUAAUUUCUUUUGCAUCCUCUAGCGGCCUCUAGUGGCUACUACUGACGCUCACCGCUCUGAAUUGAAAGGUGCCCAAACACCACUGAUUGAAGGAGACAUGGCUAUCCCAUUAAGUAUCUGGAUGCAAUGCACUGAAAAACACCACCUACAGAUGGAAAUUCCCCAUCCCUUGUAUUCUGGGUGACAGCCUAGGUAAAAACAUACUGACUUUCAUCCAAGAUUAUACAGGUCUGUACUUGAAUUUGCUAUUCCAUAUAUCAAGUUUGGCCCUGACUGCUCAUUUGAUGACACUAUAAAAU